ACGACCGAGUCAUAGAGCGCCAGGAAGAGGCAGUUGGAGAAAAAAACUGGCAGAAUCUGCAGUGUGAUCAGCAAGUCUACGCUGAGGAUGCCCAUCUUCUCUGCCUCCUGGAUUAAGAAAAUGAAGUUGGAUAACCUGAAAGCACACCUGGAGAUUUCAAGGAUGGAAGCUACCACUACUCUUUCCUUACUGUUACCUGAAGGCAGCAAAGGGCAUUCAAGAACACUACGGAAUUCAUGCUGUGGAUUUUCAAGUGGUCUUAGUUUCAUAAAAUUU